CUUCCUAGGUUGAGCAUGUACUUCCUCUUCUGAAGCGAGGAAUUGGUAUCCAUCAUGGUGGUCUGCUUCCUAUCUUAAAAGAAACUAUAGAAAUUCUUUUCUCAGAGGGCCUAAUAAAGGCCUUAUUUGCAACAGAGACUUUUGCUAUGGGGAUUAAUAUGCCAGCCAGGACUGUCCUAUUUACAAGUGCCAGCAAAUUUGAUGGAAAAGACUUUCGAUGGAUAUCCUCAGGUGAAUACAUUCAAAUGUCAGGUCGUGCAGGACGCCGAGGUAUGGAUGACAGAGGAAUAGUCAUCCUUAUGGUGGAUGAAAAAAUGAGUCCAACAAUCGGCAAGCAGCUUUUGAAGG